UCUGAUCUCAGAUCAAGCAAGAAGACCCGCCGAAUUUAAGCAUAUAAUUAAGCGGAGGAAAAGAAACUAACCAGGAUUCCCCUAGUAAGGGCGACUGAAGCGGGAAUAGCUCACGAUGUGAAUCAGCGCUGCUUUGUGGCGCCGAAUUGUGGUCUGAAAACGUUUGCAUUACUGGCGGGGCCAAGUCCCUUGGAACAGGGCAGCCGAGAGGGUGAGACUCCCGUGUGCCCUGCCUUUGGAGCGAGCGUUUGACGAGUCGAGUUGUUUGGGAUUGCAGCUCUAAGUG
rnacentral:rRNA from 1 species